rnacentral:lncRNA from 1 species
GUAGUAAUAAAUUUUUGUGCUUUGUCGUGCCAUGCAUAAUUAAACCGUACAUGCAUCAUAUUUGAUUGCGCAUCAUGUCAUGCACACGCCGUGGUGAAUAUCGUGUGUUGAUUCUUGUUUCCGGAUUGCUUCUUCUCGAUAGAGUUUCGCAAUCGCGUCGCAAUGUGAGGAUUCGUUCGACUACGUUGGUUCGUCUACAUCAUGGACUCGUUCUUCUUCCAAAAGGGAUCACAGGCAAGAUGACCAUUUCCCUAGAUACCAUUACUAUCCUUUCCAUGCUAGUUAUCUCGUUUGUUUCACUAUGUCUUGCUGCCUACCACCUAUUUAAUAAGCCUUCGAACUUCGCCAUGAAAAAUCUCUAACCUUUCCACCACCCAGCAAACCACUGUUUGGCAAUGUUAGUGCUUGUUCAUCCUUCUUCUAGGGUCGCUUGUUCUAGGUGGAGUUGCUUCCAUGUGAAAACAUGGGUUCCUUGUUAUAUCACCAUAUUAUUGCUAAUUAAUUUAAUACACCUAUAUACUUG